rnacentral:rRNA from 1 species
AACGAACGCUGGCGGCAGGCCUAACACAUGCAAGUCGAGCGCCCCGCAAGGGGAGCGGCGGACGGGUGAGUAACGCGUGGGAACGUGCCCUUUGCUACGGAAUAGCCCCGGGAAACUGGGAGUAAUACCGUAUAAGCCCUACGGGGGAAAGAUUUAUCGGCAAAGGAUCGGCCCGCGUUGGAUUAGGUAGUUGGUGGGGUAAUGGCCUACCAAGCCGACGAUCCAUGGCUGGUUUGAGAGGAUGAUCAGCCACACUGGGACUGAGACACGGCCCAGACUCCUACGGGAGGCAACAGUGGGGAAUCUUAGACAAUGGGCGCAAGCCUGAUCUAGCCAUGCCGCGUGAGCGAUGAAGGCCUUAGGGUUGUAAAGCUCUUUCGUGGGGGAAGAUAAUGACUGUACCCCAAGAAGAAGCCCCGGCUAACUCCGUGCCAGCCGCCGCCGUAAUAC